GGACGCCCCCGCCCAGCGCGGACGCCGCGGGGUCCGGGCCGGUGGUCCCCGGCAGAGACGCGGGGUAGCGGACCGGAGGGAGGCCCCUCUGGGCCUGGGGUCAGCGCCCACACUUGGGAGACCCGGGCGCAGCCGCCGGUUGGCCUUACGUAAGCUCUCAGCCCGACCCCGGGCGCUCCGCGCUUCCUCCCCGCCCAGGGAGCAAGUCUCAAAGGUGGCCUGUUUUCUGGACCGAAGAGAGGACGCCUGGCACCAUCGCCGAGUGGUGUGCUGGGGUCCAGUCAUCGCGUUUUGUGGGAUGUCGACCGCUCGGCCAGGCUCUCCUCCGCCCUUUGUUGUGUUUGCUCCUCUUCCAGGGUGCGAUCCUGGAGGGACUGUGCGGUUCCCUGCAAGAAGGUCCUCCUUUCCAUGAACCAACAUCCUGUUGCCCACAGCUCUUACUGAGUAAUGGACAGAAAGUUAUGGACCUUCAGGAACCCACAGAGGGGCUCGGCCUGUGUGUGAUCAUGAUCUACAGCUCACAGCUCUUGGAUUGAAUACUAGGCCUUUGCUUAGCAGGUGUGUUCAGCCCACUUCCCUUACAACUUGUCUUGGAGAGUCCAGGAAACGAGUUCUUUGGAAAGAGAGAUUAGAGUGUUAUGUAGGACUGAUAACAGUGGAUAAGUGAAGAAAUACAUGUACAGCGUUCAGAAGAGUGCCUGCCACAUAAAAUGAUGGGGACCAGGAACAGACACCCACCUCAGCCUGGGCCAAUCACAUUCUCUCCUGGAAAUCUGGAAUUGUCAGAAGAUAAUCGGUUCAUUGCUACUUGUGAGUAAAUAUAAACCUCAGGAAAUAUGUGGUGAUUCUUCUUGCAUUGGGUUAAAAAGUACAAAAGUAAAGUAUAAUAAAUAGGGACCUGCUGAAUGGUCUAGUGGCUAAGACGCCACGCUCCCAAUGCAGGGGCUUGGAUGCAUCCCUGGUCAAGGAACUUGAUACUGCACACCACAACUAAGAGUUUGUAUGCCGCAACUGAAGAUCCUACAUGCUGCAAGGAAGAUGGAAGAUCCUGAGUGCUACAACUAAGACC